ensembl:lncRNA
AUGCAUAAACUUUGUGAGGGAAAGGUAAGCACAUUUAAUGAGCUCAGUUCACUCCUGGGUCACGCCAGGAGCAGAAGGACAAGACUUCCAUCACUGGAAAGACCACCCAGAGAGGAGGAAGCUGUGCUUGCCCAGGAAGGAGGAAAAGCAAGAAGAUCCCAAUGGUUUUCCUUCAGAGCCCAAGCCAUGACUACCAGCUGCCUCCACAGCAGAAGUCGAGGGGCCCCAACCAUGGAGAAGGGGCCUGUUUCUUUUCAGCAUAAGUGCCACCAGAGCCUUGGAAUGGAGCAAGUACGGGCAGCAAGCAUUUCCCACUGGAUUCCAUCAAAAUGAGCUUGGUUAUUAAAUAAGAGGUCUCUGCUAUGCUAUCUGGCUUUCACUGGGGCACACCAAGAGGUGCUGACUGCUACCAAAGCAGAGGUAUGCCUGCCACCCGUGGAGGAGAGCUGGGAUGGGUGGGCAGCACGACAUGAGAGCUGACCUCUGCGCUCACUCAACAUGAUCUCAGAAAUCAGAGAAAAAUAUCUAACGAACGGCUUUUCCCUGCUUGUUCCCAAAAGCCAGGAAAUGACAGCAGUUGCACCACAAUUUGCUCUUGUGGAAAAGUGGGAUAGAAUUUUGGAAUUUCUCCUAGACUUCCAGGGAAAGAAAAUGCAAAAUGGUCUUUGAAUUAUCUUUUUUUUUUUUUUUUUUAAACUUUGAUAAAGAAAUGUGGCAUAAUUUAAAGUUUUUUUUUUUUUAUCUAUUGUUUAAAAAUACACGCAGAAGAUAAAGGUUGAUCCCAAGAAAUAUUCAAACUGAUGCAACUUAGUUGUGACACCCUUGACAGAGCUGUAGUAUACAGCAUUCAGUAUUUUUAGCUGCACAAAGUAGAUUAAUAAUUUGUUUCAUUGGUGCUGUUUAGAGAAACAAUGCCUCUGGGUCAGUAGUGCACAGAUUCCUUGGAUAAGCCUUGAAAGGGAAGAAUUAGGGUGGUGUUAGCCAAGAAAGUAAACCAGUGACAGAAUUCUGUGUACUGUUGGAAAUCGUUGAAAGUGCAAAAGACUAUAUUUUUUGUUUGAUGUGGAAAAACUGACUGUACGUGUUCUGGAAGAAAACUCAAAAUAUUGUGUGCAUUAAUUUAUAUGUUGUUUCUCUUGAAGCAUACCAGAAAUCAUCUGGGGGCAAACACUGAUCAGUCCGUUGUUUCUUUCUCUCUUGCCUUUCAGCAAAAAUGAAUAUAUUUCACAUCAUAAUGAGGGUUUCUGGCUGAAACUCCUAGAUAAUGGUCAAAAGGCUGCAAAGGUCAAAGAAGAACUUAUUUCUGUACCCAUUUAUCAAAAUGAAAAAAAAAAAAAAAGGAAGAAAUGGAAGUGUAAGAUUUAGGUAGAUCACUUCCCGGAUGUUGGAUUCACAACUUAUAUCCAGGUGAUUUUCAGUUUAGGAGGAAGCAGAAAGCAGCUGGUCUUGGGUGCAUAACACAACACAGGAAAUUUGCUUGGACUUUGAAAUAUAUGCAUGAAUUUCUCAUAAAAUCCAUGAGAGCUAUUAGAAGCCAACAUCUGCAGGAAUGUUCCAUUGAUGGAUCAAGAAAAUAAAGGGAAGUAGAAGCAAUGAGGUGAAAAAAGC